rnacentral:tRNA from 1 species
GGGGUUGUAGCUCAGUGGUAGAGUGCUUGCCUCUUAAGCAUGAAGCCCUGGGUUCGAUCCUAAGUACCACA